UAGAGUAUAAUUUAAAUAAAAUAUUUGAUUUGCAUUCAAAAAAUAUUAAGUUAUCUAAUUACACUAA
rnacentral:tRNA from 1 species